rnacentral:rRNA from 1 species
GAUGAACGCUGGCGGCGUGCCUAAUACAUGCAAGUCGAGCGAACAGACGAGGAGCUUGCUCCUCUGACGUUAGCGGCGGACGGGUGAGUAACACGUGGAUAACCUACCUAUAAGACUGGGAUAACUUCGGGAAACCGGAGCUAAUACCGGAUAAUAUAUUGAACCGCAUGGUUCAAUAGUGAAAGACGGUUUUGCUGUCACUUAUAGAUGGAUCCGCGCCGCAUUAGCUAGUUGGUAAGGUAACGGCUUACCAAGGCAACGAUGCGUAGCCGACCUGAGAGGGUGAUCGGCCACACUGGAACUGAGACACGGUCCAGACUCCUACGGGAGGCAGCAGUAGGGAAUCUUCCGCAAUGGGCGAAAGCCUGACGGAGCAACGCCGCGUGAGUGAUGAAGGUCUUCGGAUCGUAAAAUUCUGUUAUUAGGGAAGAACAAAUGUGUAAGUAACUAUGCACGUCUUGACGGUACCUAAGCAGAAAGCCACGGCUAACUACGU